GAAACAGUUGCUAAGACUGGAUAGGAAAAGUAAAGGCAUCUUUACUUUUUUAAAAGACCUUCUUUGAAGGUAUGCUUGAGGAGGGGCUUGCGACACAUUAGUUAGUUGGCAGGGUAAAGGCCUACCAAGACUAUGAUGUGUAGCUGGACUGAGAGGUUGAACAGCCACAUUGGGACUGAGACACGGCCCAAACUCCUACGGGAGGCAGCAGUAGGGAAUUUUCGGCAAUGGAGGAAACUCUGACCGAGCAACGCCGCGUGAACGAUGAAGUACCUCGGUAUGUAAAGUUCUUUUAUUAAGGAAGAAAAAAGAGUGGAAAAACUCCCUUGACGGUACUUAAUGAAUAAGCCCCGGCUAAUUAUGUGCCAGCAGCCGCGGUAAUACAUAAGGGGCGAGCGUUAUCCGGAAUGAUUGGGCGUAAAGGGUGCGUAGGCGGUUUAAUAAGUCUAUAGUUUAAUUUCAGUGCUUAACGCUGUUGUGCUAUAGAAACUGUUUUACUAGAGUGAGAUAGAGGCAAGCGGAAUUCCAUGUGUAGCGGUAAAAUGCGUAAAUAUAUGGAGGAACACCAGAGGCGUAGGCGGCUUGCUGGGUCUUUACUGACGCUGAGGCACGAAAGCGUGGGGAGCAAACAGGAUUAGAUACCCUGGUAGUCCACGCCGUAAACGAUGAGUACUAAGUGUCGGAUAAAACCGGUACUGAAGUUAACACAUUAAGUACUCCGCCUGAGUAGUACGUACGCAAGUAUGAAACUUAAAGGAAUUGACGGGACUCCGCACAAGCGGUGGAUCAUGUUGUUUAAUUCGAAGAUACACGAAAAACCUUACCAGGUCUUGACAUUUUCUUGCGAAGUUAUAGAAAUAUAAUGGAGGUUAUCAGGAAAACAGGUGGUGCAUGGUUGUCGUCAGCUCGUGUCGUGAGAUGUUAGGUUAAGUCCUAAAACGAGCGCAACCCUUGUCGUUAAUUGCCAGCAUGUAAUGAUGGGGACUUUGACGAGACUGCCAAUGAAAAAUUGGAGGAAGGUGGGGAUUACGUCAAAUCAUCAUGCCCCUUAUGAUCUGGGCUACAAACGUGAUACAAUGGUUGAUACAAAGAGUAGCUGAAAUGCGAGUUUUUAGCCAAUCUCACAAAAUCAAUCUCAGUUCGGAUUGAAGUCUGCAACUCGACUUCAUGAAGCCGGAAUCGCUAGUAAUCGCGAAUCAGCAUGUCGCGGUGAAUACGUUCACGGGGUUUGUACACACCGCCCGUCA
rnacentral:rRNA from 1 species